UGUAACUUAGGAAAGAGAGGGAUUCGAACCCCU
rnacentral:tRNA from 1 species